GAUGAACGCUGGCGGCGUGCCUAAUACAUGCAAGUCGAGCGAACGGACGAUAAUCUUGCUUCUCUGAUGUUAGCGGCGGACGGGUGAGUAACACGAGGAUAACCUACCUAUAAUACUGGUAUAACUUCGGGAAACCGGAGCUAAUACCGUAUAAUCUCUUGAUCCGCAGGGGUCGAAAGUGAGAUACGGUCGUUCUGGCACGUAUAGAUGGAUCCGCGCUGCAUUUGCUAGUUGUUAAGGUAACGGGUUACCAAGGCAACGAUGCAUAGCCGAACUAAGAGGGGGAUAGGCCACCUGGGAACUGAGACACGGUCCUGACUACUACGGGAGGCAGCAGUAGGGAAUCUUCCGCAAUGGGCGGAAGCCUGACAGAGCAACGCCGCGUGAGUGAUGAAGGUCUUCGGAUCUUAAAACUCUGUUAUUAGGGAAGAACAUAUGUGUAAGUAACUGUGCACAUCUUGACGGUACCUAAUCAGAAAGCCACGGCUAACUACGUG
rnacentral:rRNA from 1 species